UACGUAGGGUGCGAGCGUUGUCCGGAAUUAUUGGGCGUAAAGAGCUUGUAGGCGGCUCGUUGCGUCGGGAGUGAAAACCUGCGGCUUAACCGCAGGCCUGCUUCCGAUACGGGCGAGCUAGAGUUCGGCAGGGGAGACUGGAAUUCCUGGUGUAGCGGUGGAAUGCGCAGAUAUCAGGAGGAACACCGGUGGCGAAGGCGGGUCUCUGGGCCGAUACUGACACUGAGAAGCGAAAGCGUGGGGAGCGAACAGG
rnacentral:rRNA from 1 species